rnacentral:lncRNA from 1 species
UCCUAACCAAUGACCUUAUAAAACAUACGUUGUUGAAUCAAGUUUAAGGUUCUUGUAACAAUUGCUUGUGUAUAUAAUGUACUCCCUCUCACCUAUUCAAAUGCUGAAACGAUAUACGACACUGUAGAAUAAAACAACGUCUCCACAAUUGGACUAACCUUGGUAUCUUUACAAGUGGCUGGCAUUGGCAGUAUGUUGAUUUAGAUCCUUGCAUCAUUGAAGUAUGAAAUUGAAAAGAUUUCUUUAUGUACUACAGAGAGAGAGAGAGAGCCAUGGCUCUUUCAGCUUCUUGUGGCUACAGGUCCAGAGGCAUAGGCAGCACAUCGACUUUGAAUGCCCUGCCAAGAACGACUGCUCCAUGUGAUGGAUUGCAGCACAGCAGCUGAUGCUGAAUACCCAAAAGUCGCAACAAAAAAUUGUUUGAAAACUACAUCACAUUAUUAGUGUCGACUCUCUAAUCAGCCAAGUGACAACAUUCAACGACAUGUGUGGCUUAACCUAGGAACUCGCACUCUCUGACUCGGCUCGGAACCAUCGGAAUCAGUCAGCAACUAAGCCCGUCUUGUACGCACCAAUCCAUCCAUCUAGAACCACCAACAGGGUCAGCAGGAGCGCCAGUCCCUACCCGAAGACGAACGGAGCGCGAGAUCCAUAGUUCAGCGCCCGCAACAAACGAAUCUAAUGGGGCCGACCGCCCGCGC